GGGGCGUCGCCAAGCGGUAAGGCAGCAGGUUUUGAUCCUGCCAUGCGUUGGUUCGAAUCCCGCAGAUUCCGUUCCAGCA
rnacentral:tRNA from 1 species